GCCUAACACAUGCAAGUCGAACGGUAACAGGAAGCAGCUUGCUGCUUUGCUGACGAGUGGCGGACGGGUGAGUAAUGUCUGGGAAACUGCCUGGUGGAGGGGGAUAACUACUGGAAACGGUAGCUAAUACCGCAUAACGUCGCAAGACCAAAGAGGGGGACCUUCGGGCCUCUUGCCAUCGGAUGUGCCCAGAUGGGAUUAGCUAGUAGGUGGGGUAACGGCUCACCUAGGCGACGAUCCCUAGCUGGUCUGAGAGGAUGACCAGCCACACUGGAACUGAGACACGGUCCAGACUCCUACGGGAGGCAGCAGUGGGGAAUAUUGCACAAUGGGCGCAAGCCUGAUGCAGCCAUGCCGCGUGUAUGAAGAAGGCCUUCGGGUUGUAAAGUACUUUCAGCGGGGAGGAAGGGAGUAAAGUUAAUACCUUUGCUCAUUGACGUUACCCGCAGAAGAAGCACCGGCUAACUCCGUGCCAGCAGCCGCGGUAAUACGGAGGGUGCAAGCGUUAAUCGGAAUUACUGGGCGUAAAGCGCACGCAGGCGGUUUGUUAAGUCAGAUGUGAAAUCCCCGGGCUCAACCUGGGAACUGCAUCUGAUACUGGCAAGCUUGAGUCUCGUAGAGGGGGGUAGAAUUCCAGGUGUAGCGGUGAAAUGCGUAGAGAUCUGGAGGAAUACCGGUGGCGAAG
rnacentral:rRNA from 1 species